rnacentral:rRNA from 1 species
CUUCGGUGUGAGUAGAGCGGCGGACGGGUGAGUAAUGCUUGGGAAUCUACCUAGUAGUGGGGGAUAACGUGUGGAAACGCACGCUAAUACCGCGUACGUCCUACGGGAGAAAGCAGGGGACCUUCGGGCCUUGCGCUAUUAGAUGAGCCCAAGUCGGAUUAGCUAGUUGGUAGGGUAAUGGCUUACCAAGGCGACGAUCCGUAGCUGGUCUGAGAGGAUGAUCAGCCACACUGGGACUGAGACACGGCCCAGACUCCUACGGGAGGCAGCAGUGGGGAAUAUUGCACAAUGGGCGAAAGCCUGAUGCAGCCAUGCCGCGUGUGUGAAGAAGGCUCUAGGGUUGUAAAGCACUUUCAGUAGGGAGGAAAAGUAUGUAGUUAAUAGCUGCAUACCCUGACGUUACCUACAGAAGAAGCACCGGCAAACUCCGUGCCAGCAGCCGCGGUAAUACGGAUGGUGCGAGCGCUAAUCGGAAUUACUGGGCGUAAAGCGCGCGUAGGUGGUUUGAUAAGCUAGCUGUGAAAGCCCUGGGCUCAACCUAGGAACUGCAGUUAGAACUGUCUGACUAGAGUACAGUAGAGGGUGGCGGAAUUUCCUGUGUAGCGGUGAAAUGCGUAGAUAUA